CAUUAUUGAAUGAACUUGGUUGGGCUGUUGCUGGUCCCCCGGGGCAUGUGCACGCCUGGCACCAACUUCUUUUUACCACCUGUGCACCUUCUGUAGACUUGGAUACAUCUCUCCGAGGUCAACUCGGUUGGAGGGUCUGCUGCCGCCCUUUUGGGCCAGCUUUCCCUCGCUCGUCUCCGGUCUAUGUCUUUUUACAUUCACACCGCAUGUCAAAGAAUGUUAUGUUAUAGGCUCUUUAUGGCCUUUAAAACCUAAUACAACUUUCAACAACGGAUCUCUUGGCUCUCGCAUCGAUGAAGAACGCAGCGAAAUGCGAUAAGUAAUGUGAAUUGCAGAAUUCAGUGAAUCAUCGAAUCUUUGAACGCACCUUGCGCUCCUUGGUAUUCCGAGGAGCAUGCCUGUUUGAGUAUCAUGAAAUUCUCAAUCCUGUUUGGCUCUUUGCAGCUGAUUAGGCUUGGAUUGUGGGAGGUUUUUGCGGGCUUCAUUCCAGAAGUCGGCUCUCCUGAAAUGCAUUAGCGUAGAACCUCUUUGCGGUAUUUUGGUGUGAUAAUUAUCUAUGCCAUGUCUGUGAAGUGUGGGUUUGGCUUCCAAUCGUCUCGGCGAGACAACAUUCAUGACCUUUUGAUCUCAAAUCAGGUAGGACUACCC
rnacentral:rRNA from 1 species